UGAACGCUGGCGGCGUGCCUAAUACAUGCAAGUCGAGCGACCAGACGAGGAGCUUGCUCCUCUGACGUUAGCGGCGGACGGGUGAGUAACACGUGGAUAACCUACCUAUAAGACUGGGAUAACUUCGGGAAACCGGAGCUAAUACCGGAUAAUAUAUUGAACCGCAUGGUUCCAUAGUGAAAGACGGUUUUGCUGUCACUUAUAGAUGGAUCCGCGCCGCAUUAGCUAGUUGGUAAGGUAACGGCUUACCAAGGCAACGAUGCGUAGCCGACCUGAGAGGGUGAUCGGCCACACUGGAACUGAGACACGGUCCAGACUCCUACGGGAGGCAGCAGUAGGGAAUCUUCCGCAAUGGGCGAAAGCUUGACGGAGCAACGCCGCGUGAGUGAUGAAGGUCUUCGGAUCGUAAAACUCUGUUAUUAGGGAAGAACAAAUGUGUAAGUAACUAUGCACGUCUUGACGGUACCUAAUCAGAAAGCCACGGCUAACUACGUG
rnacentral:rRNA from 1 species